GGUACGCAGCCGAGUCUCCGCAGUGAGCACCGCGACGCCUUCGAAGACGAAUCGUGUCGAGAAUUAAGCCGGUGUGAACAAAGGAAUCUUCGAAUCUGGAACAAAUAGCCGAUGUGCAGUGGGUGAAUUUCAGUUUCCACACCUUUUCCGAGCAUCUACGAUAUUCCUUCGAGAGGAACAGGAAGACAGAAGGAGAGAAAGAUGGAUAGAUAGAUAGAGAGAAAGAUAGAGAGAAACAGAGAGAGAGAAAGAGAAAAAGGUUUAUCUGGAAGAAAGGUUGCGCUGCGGUAUCUACGAUCCGCCCUUUUUCAUGGGAUAACUGACAUAAAAAACAAAAUAAAAAAUAAACGUACCUUGAGGGGAAAAUUUUCAUGGCAGGACCAAAAGAGAACACACGUUUCACGUAUUUUAAAAAAAGUACAUUUACGUAACUGCAUCUCGUAAUAUUCCAAAAAUAUCCUUGAAAUCAGGAACAGUGAAUCUUCGAUAGAGGGAUAUUUUCUGUUAAAAAAAAAAAAAAGAAAAUACAGAAAAUAGUGACAAAAAGAGAAGAAGAAGGGAAAAAAGGACAGAGAUAAUAUAUACAACGCGUGUGUGUAUGUGUGUGUAUGUGUGUGUGGAUACGUAAUACGUAAUAUGUGGUAGGAAAAGAUGUUGGUAGAAAAAAAAUUCAGGCUGACGUGUACAAAGUGAUAAAAUCAGAAGAAGAGAGGUACCCGCUGCUUCCUGGAAUCACCACGACGAUAUAGAAGCUUAAUGGCGCGAUCGGGGUGGUUCACCCUCGACUUUGGAAGGUCGUCACGAAGGAAUAUCGAUCGUAGGAUCUCGAACGGACGUGAUAAAGAAAAAAAAGAAAAGGAAGAGGACAAACUAACGUAUCUAACUCAACGUUACGAACAACGUUAAUUAUUUUUUUCUUUUUUACAACCAUCUUCUUCGAUUUAAAAUAUUUCGAUUAUUCCCCCACCCUCUCUACAAAUAAAAAACGCCAUUUUGUAUCGAGAAAACAGGGGGAAUGGUUUUAUCGUUAAAAUUAUUUUGAUUCCAACGAAUAAGAGGAAUCAUUUUAUGAAAAUAAAUGUUAAACAUUGAACGAUCGUUAGAUUAGGUUAUGCGACAAGAUCGAAAGAACUCCGAUUAUUUUUGAUUCUCUUUCCUGAAGGAAGGGUUCAAUACCAAUCAAUUCCCUCGAGGGAAUUUUCAUUCGGAUUGAUCAAUCGAUUUAGACGAAAUAAGAGAAGAAGAAGAAAAUAAACUAAAACAAAUUCGAUAAAAGAUAUCGAAUAAAUUUAGAUACGUUGGUUAUUUCCAAAGAAAUCUAACCUCGAAAUCAAAUUCUAUUCUUUUUUUUUUAGUUUUCAAGAUCAUUUAAUUAUAAUAUAAUCACCUCACGUUAAAAUGAUAAAGAAAAAGGUGUUGAUUGGAAGUAAUUUCAUAAAUCUCGAGAUGAAUUAUCAAAUUUAAAAAGAAAAAAUUGUUCUAAGAUCGUUUGAAGAAACUUGAAGAAUACUUGCUCGUAAUCAUCGGAAAAAAAACAAACGGGAAAGAAGAUGGAAAUCAUUUAAAUCAAUGGUUUACUUUUUCGUUGAAAGUGAUCAACGUCGAA
rnacentral:lncRNA from 1 species